rnacentral:misc_RNA from 1 species
AAAAAAUAAAUCUUGUUUUUCAAUUGCAAAUUGAACAGGCCUGUUGUGGCAUGUUAAGGUGUAACCGUACACAAAUUUAUGUCACAAUUACCUACUUGUAAUUGUUGAAUGUGAACAAGCUUAGUCCGAAUACUUUAGAUACCGGUAGCUCACGAAAUGAGCUUAUGCAAAUCAGUCAACUAAAUGUUUAACUGAAAAGGUGACUGAAUGACAUAGCUAUAUCACUCAGAUACAUGUACCUUGUAUUUACUUUGCAAUUAUGCAUAUCUUUUAAGUCGAGUUAAAGGCAGAACUUCAUCCUGUGUGAUCAGGCCCCGCUGUCACCAACUUUCUUGAAAUCAAUACUCAGCUUCAAGUCUGAGUUUUUAACCCCAAAUCAUAUAUAUGCACUUUUCUUUAAAGGAUUUGAGUUGAGGACUGAGCCUGUAUAUACCUGUAUGUCAGAAUAAAGGUGCUUGAGAGUCUUUAUGGGUCGUAUGUUGAUAGUUUAUGAAAUGAUAGACUAGGUUUAGAAAAAAAAAUAUACAUGUAAUAUAUAUCAGUGAAGAAAUUGUAUUGGAGAUUAAUUAUACACUCGAUCUCAAAUUUCCGUUUAUUAGAAAAAAUAUCGUUAUGAUUUUUUAUCGACCUGACGACGGUCUGAACAUGAUAUUAAUUUGGUUUUAAAAAAAAUUAUUGUCAAAUAUUUUAUACUUUUUUAUGAUAAAAAAAUAAAUGGUGUUUGGGACGUUUG